GACGAACGCUGGCGGCGUGCCUAAUUCCUUCAAGUCGAACGCAGUGGGGACGGGUGAGUAACACGUGGGUAACCUCCCAUCAGAGGGGAUAACACUUGGAAACAGGUGCUAAACCGAUACUGAUGGAUGGACCCGCGGGGCAUUCGCUACUGCGUGAGGUAACGGCUCACCAAGGCCACGAUGCAUAUCUGCCCGGAGAGGGUGUUCGGCCCCCCUGGGACUGAGACACGGCCCAGACUCCUACGGUAGGCAUCAGUAGGGAAUCUUCGGCAAUGGACGAAAGUCUGACCGAGCAACGCCGCGUGAGUGAAGAAGGUUUUCGGAUCGUAAAACUCUGUUGUUAGAGAAGCGUUAUCUAACCAGAAAGCCACGGCGAAGUACGUGCCAGCAGCCGCGGUAAUAC
rnacentral:rRNA from 1 species